rnacentral:rRNA from 1 species
AUUGAACGCUGGCGGCAGGCCUAACACAUGCAAGUCGAACGGUAACACGAAACGAGUUUGUGUUUCGCGGUCGCGUGGGGGGGGGGGGUGAAGUGUCUAUGGAACUCCCUUAUUUCGGGGGGGAUCAAGUGGAGACGGUUACGAUAACCGCACAUCGGCCCAACGGGAGAGAGCAGGAGAUCUUGGCCCCUUGCGAGAUGGUAUGCGCCGAUGUCGGAUUAGCUAGUUGGGGGGGUAAACGCCCACCAAGGCGACGAUCCGUAGCUGGUCUGAGAGGAUGAUCAGCCACACUGGAACUGAGACACGGUCCAGACUCCUACGGGAGGCAGCAGUGGGGAAUAUUGGACAAUGGGCGCAAGCCUGAUCCAGCCAUACCGCGUGUGUGAAGAAGGCCUUCGGGUUGUAAAGCACUUUUAUUGGGGAAGAAGAGCAGCAAGUUAAUACCUCGCCGUAUUGACGUUACCCAAAGAAGAAGCACCGGCUAACUCCGUG